AGUCAUUCUUGCAGAGCCAGCUGGGCGGGAGACUGGAGUUUUAUUAUUGCUCAAAUCAGUCUCCCCGAGCGUUUGGGGAUCAGAGAUUUUAAGGAUAAUAUGGCAUGGUCUCAGGAAGUGGGGAGUGCUGAUUGGUCAGGUUGGAGAUGGAAUCACAGGGGGAUCAAACACGUGCUCUCUACGGUUAAUGUCAUCCUUGGGAAGCCCGUCUUGAACACCUGGAAGGUUUUACAACAGCAACGGACCAAGCAGAGUUCACAGCUACUACAUUCAGUGGGAAGGUUUUCCCAAGCACUACAAUUAGGAGAUAGCCCUCCUUUGUCCUUCUCCCAAACUAAUGUGCAGAUGAGCAGCAUGGUAAUCAUGUCCAGCCACCCAAAAACCUAUCAACAGAGGUUUGUUUUCCCAUACUUUGACCUCUGGGGCAAUGUGGUCAUUGACAAGAGCUAUCUAGAAAACUUGCCAUCAGAUUCACCUAUUGUCACCAUGGCUUUCCCAACUCUCCAAGCCAUCCUUGCCCAGGGUAUCCAGGAAAAUAAUUUUGCAGAGAGCUUAGUGAUGACGACCACUGUCAGCCAUAAUGUGACUAUGCCAUUCAGCAUUUCAAUGACUUUUAAGAACAACAGCCCUUCAGGCGGCGAAACAACAUGUGUCUUCUGGAACUUCAGGCUUUCCAACAACACGGGGGGUGGGACAGCAGUGGGUGCUAUGUUGAAGAAGGUGAUGGGGACAAUGUCACCUGUAUCUGUGACUACCUAACAUCAUUCUCCAUUCUCAAGUCCCCUGACUCCCCAGAUCCUGGUUCUCUCCUGGGAAUACUACUGGAUAUUAUUUCUUAUGUUGGGGUGGGCUUUUCCAUCUUCAGCUUGGCGGCCUGUCUAGUUGUGGAAACUGUGGUGUGGAAAUCAGUGACCAAGAACCAGACUUCCUAUAUGCGCCACAUCUGCAUAGUGAAUGUUGCUGCCUCCCUUCUGGUCGCC
ensembl:lncRNA novel transcript